AUGAGUAAGGAAUUUGGCAAAAGUUCUAUUAUAUUGUUGAAUACUAUGCUUAUUAUUAUUAGAUUUGGGGCUCAACUAAGCCUGCCACAUUCACUGAAUCUUCAAGGUGGUUAUGGAACCCCUGAAGCGACCCUUGACUCAACACUGAAGAAUGACAAACCAAGUGUGUGGUCGGUCACAAACCACAGAACCAGCAGGAACUUCGGGCCCAUCUACUGCCAUGUUCCUAAGAGUGAAGUCCAAGCUGCUCUAAACUACAGAGCUUCUACUGGCCCAUCCAGACCUCCUUCAAUGACGCUCCUAAAGCCACACCAGGACCCACACCUACCUUCUGAGGACAGAGGAGGCUGCAGAGUGAGAAGGAUGCUUGGUUAAGGCUCCUCAGCAUCCCCUGUCUGGAGCAGUUAACUGGGAAUACAGAGUCGCCUCCAUUUUCUGGUCACAUGAUCAUGGGCACAUCUAAAUACGGAGGAUCACCCGCCUGCCAGAUCUCCCAGGGAGCCCUCGCCACCGCUGCCUGCUUCUGUGAGGAGAAGGAGCUGGGGCUGUGAUGAGCUUCACUUGCGAAUAUAGACUACUCCUUCAAUCAGGGUGUGGAGUCAGAAAUGCCCCUCCCUUGAUUUUUGUGUCUGCUCAGAAACACUGUUGUCACUCCUGUUCCUAAAGAAGACUGAAUGUGAAUGGGCUCAGAGCACAGACUGGAAGCAAUACAGUUCCCCUGAAACCUCUUUAAAAAAAAAAUCCUUUGGCUACACAGCACAUGAAGUAAGAUAAUAGUGUCAUUAUUUUCAUUUCACAGUGAUCAAAAAUAAUAAAAAUGGACUAUGGAAGCAUAGUGAGAUACAUAAAGAAAUUCAACUGGAGGUUCUAGAGAAAGUUAGGAUGUUUACCCAAGAUCGAUACAGCUUUGGCUAGUGAGAAACAAAGGCACGUGACCAGUAAGCACUUAGACCCUGGAGUCAGAGGGCCUGAGUUUGAAAUCUAAUUUCUACUACUUAUUAGCAAGUUUGGACCAGUAGUUAGUAAACUACAGACUGCUGACUCACAAAUGGAUAACAACACUGUUACUUUAAAGCAAGAUAAUCUAGGUAGAGAUUUUAGAGAGCCUGGGUUAAAAGAACUUAUUAGCUACUAAUAAUAUUAUUAAUUCUAAAAAUGCCAACAGAAAUAUUUGAUGGAGUUAUGUCAAAUGAAAUACGAAUGAAAAGCUUACAUAACAGAAAAACAUACAUUCAUUAGUAUCAUCCUCAAAGGAAACAUAUAUUGUCAGACAAAUCAAACGAAGACUCCUGAUCACAAUCAGGCAACAUAUCAAUGUGCAAAGUAACUACAGGCACCACCUUCAGAACUAGGUUGUCAGAAGUCCCAUGUUACGUCAUCUUUUUGUUUCUCGUGGGAGAUAGUGGGUAGGUGAGUUGGGGAGGGGGCUAUGGUAGAAUAGGGCAGCUUGGGGUCCUCUCCAAUUGAGCCAACUCCAAUAAAAGAGGAAAGUGAAUUCCUCAAUGGAGGACCUGGCCAUAGUAAAUAUUUAAGAAAUGUUAGCUCCUAGUCUUAAAAUGAAGGACAUUUCAUGUCUUUCCCACGGCUGCUGGGGGUGGUAAGAGGGCAGCAGGGAAGGGAGAAGAGGAAGAAGUGAAUUUUUAUACCUCUACUUAAACUAAAAGCCUACACAAAUUCUCCCAAGUGAUGAGCAGUUAUGAAAAUAAUUUCUCACAUGCUUUCUAUUGUUUAGUUAUAGAGAAUUGGAGGUGGGGACCUUAGCGGGUAAUGACUUUGCAGGGUUCAGUGAAAAUCCAGUGCAGUUUCCAAAGCCAAGCUGAGCCAGAAUUCAUCAGAGAAGAGAUGGCUCCAGAACUGGCUGUACCCUGGGUGUCCAGGGUGAAGCCUAAAACUGGGGUCUCUGCUUUGUGAAGUGCUGGCUCAUUAGGGGGUCCCUCCUCAGGCGGAAAAACGUAGUGGUUGGAGCUGCAGUAAGAGGAGUUACGUGUUGUAGAACAGACACUGUAAGUGAACCUGUCCUCACUAUCUAACAAUAUACACUACCAUGUGUAACUAGAUAGUAGUGGGAAGCUGCUGCAUAGCACACGGAGCUAGCUGGGUGCUCUGUGACAACCUGAAG
ensembl:lincRNA